rnacentral:rRNA from 1 species
GAUCAUGGCUCAGGAUGAACGCUAGCUACAGGCUUAACACAUGCAAGUUGAGGGGCAGCAUGGUCUUAGCUUGCUAAGGCCGAUGGCGACCGGCGCACGGGUGAGUAACGCGUAUCCAACCUGCCUUACACUCUUGGACAGCCUUCUGAAAGGGAGAUUAAUACAAGAUGUUAUCAUGAGUAAGCAUUUUCGCAUGAUUAAAGGUUUACCGGUGUAAGAUGGGAUGCG